rnacentral:rRNA from 1 species
CCUGGUGACUAUAGCGGGGUGCCCCCACCCGUUCCCAUGCCGAACACGGCCGUGAAACACCCCUGCGCCAAUGGUACUUCGUCUCAAGACGCGGGAGAGUAGGUCAUCGCCAGGU